GAAGCUCUUCCACCCUGAUGGGACAGACCUGGUCAUGUGCCCAAAUCUCAGCCACCAAGUGUGGAGUUUGGAAAAAUGUAAUUGGAUUAAGUCUAGGAGGGCCUUCUCAGGAGCUCCAGGUACACUUACUAGGAAUUUCUCUCAUCUGGGCUUCUUCAUCUCUCCUACACUGUUCUUGUGUAUGUCAGACAAUUCUAUGGGUUCGCCCAUCAUCUCCAUGAAGAUAUCUCCCAAGUCUAUAGCGCUGGAUGUAAUCAUCAAGGACUUUUCACGACGGCUCUGUUCAGAUGAUCAACUCCCCACCUUGACCUUGAGCACAUCUCCCCAUUUUAUGUCCCACUGCAAGACAAAAGUUUAGUGUGAAUAUGUGGCACAAGACAGUUUUCUUCUCCUCAUAUGCAUCUUACAAAAGUGAAAAGGGUGGAGAUAAACAGAAGGCCCACAGAGAAAAGAUAACUGAAGUGUUUUCUGCUACCAUCAUGUGAGAAUGUAAACUGCAGGCUGAACAAGGCCAUGUAAGAAAGUGCAUUGAGGGAGCAGCCCAGCUUCAGGCUGGUUUUAUAUUAUUCAGUAUUCAGGCUGAGCUGUAUCUGAAUACAAAUUACAACUCAUCCUUCAGCCUGGGUGUCUGCUCAAUAGGCACAGAAUGAGAAACACAAAUGGAAUCUCAAAUUUUCAUGAAAAUGAUUGAAAGAAACAGAUGCAACUUCACUUAGCUGUCCCACUUAAUGCAAUCUCCAAAAGUGAAUUCUACUAAGAAAGACUAGCAAGAAGGUGGCCAGAUGUUUCACCAGCAAGCUCACAGAACAGCUUCUUAGAAACUACUAUAUGCAAAGCUCAACUGUGUCAGUGACUUUAAAAUAAAAACUCAUGGAAUCACA